GCUACACACGUGCUACAAUGGUGGUGACAAUGGGUUAAUCCCAAAAAAACCAUCUCAGUUCGGAUUGGGGUCUGCAACUCGACCCCAUGAAGUCGGAAUCGCUAGUAAUCGCGUAACAGCAUGACGCGGUGAAUACGUUCCCGGGCCUUGUACACACCGCCCGUCACACCAUGGGAGUUGGGUUUACCCGACGGCC
rnacentral:rRNA from 1 species